rnacentral:rRNA from 1 species
UACGUAGGGUGCGAGCGUUAAUCGGAAUUACUGGGCGUAAAGGGUGCGCAGGCGGUUAUAUAAGACAGAUGUGAAAUCCCCGGGCUCAACCUCGGGGAACUGCGUUUGUGACUGUAUGACUAGAGUACGGUAGAGAGGGGUGGAAGUUCCUUCGGUGGUAGCAGUGAAAUGACGUAGAUAUCAGGAGGAAUACCGAUGGCGAAGGCAGGUCUCUGGGCUGACACUGACGCUCAUGCACGAAAGCGUGGGGAGCGAAACAAGG